rnacentral:rRNA from 1 species
AUACAGGGGGUCCAAGCGUUGUUCGGAAUCACUGGGCGUAAAGCGCGUGUAGGCGGCUGUAUAAGUCGAAUGUGAAAUCCCUCAGCUCAACUGAGGACGUGCAUUCGAAACUGUAUAGCUAGAGUAUCGGAGGGGGUGGUGGAAUUCCUAGUGUAGAGGUGAAAUUCGUAGAUAUUAGGAGGAACACCUGUGGCGAAGGCGACCACCUGGACGAUAACUGACGCUGAGACGCGAAAGCGUGGGUAGCGAACAGGAUUAGAAACCCCAGUAGUCC